GGUCUGAAAAAUGAUAUUCUUUGUCCUAAUGUGUAAAUUUUGACAAUUUGCAAAUUUGUAGGUUCUUUAGAAUGGAACUAACUCAAGCCCUUCAUUCUGCAGCUGAGGCUCACUGCCCCCAGUGGGCAGUGGGUCCAGGGGUUUCUGAGGCCAGGGCAUGGCCCAGCCCUGCUGCCCCCAAGAUGGCACCUGGCUUGGAGGGGUGAGGGGCCCUGUUAGUCUGACUUUGAAGAAGACCAGCCUUCCAGACUCGCUUGGUGCCCUGACAGGAGCCCUGGGCUCCCUCAAUGUUGCCUAGAUCUGACUUUGCCUCAGUGAAAACCACCUCAAAUUCUUUCUUGCACUGAUGGGCAGAUGGGCAGUGUCAGAGGAUCGUGUCAUCUGUCCUGUGGUGCUGGUUGGCUUGGUCAAGUCAGUGUUCAAACUAUCUCCUGCUCUUUCAAGGGGAUCUGGGGCUCUAGAAGAUUAGAGGACUUUGAGAGGUUAGUGACUUGCCC
rnacentral:lncRNA from 1 species